GGCAGCCUGGUGCUUACCACAAGCUGUGUUCUUGCACUGACUGUAAAGAAAGAUGAAGCACAAUAAAGCUACUUCAUAUACACCCCCGCCCAGCCCUGUGCCUGGUCUGUAUUGUGAGUGGCAGAUACGGAG
ensembl:snoRNA